UUAUCAAAAACAUCGCCUCUUGCAAAACUCAAAAAUAAGAGGUCUCGCCUGCCCUGUGACUAUUUGUUUAACGGCCGCGGUAUUUUGACCGUGCAAAGGUAGCGCAAUCACUUGUCUUUUAAAUGAAGACCCGUAUGAAUGGCAUAACGAGGGCUUAACUGUCUCCUCCCUCCAGUCAAUGAAAUUGAUCUCCCCGUGCAGAAGCGGGGAUAAAAACAUAAGACGAGAAGACCCUAUGGAGCUUCAGACACUAAAGCAGCCCACGUUAAACACCCCGAACAAGGGACCAAACCAAGUGUCCCCUGCCCUAAUGUCUUUGGUUGGGGCGACCGCGGGGAAUUAAAGAACCCCCACGUGGACUGAGAAUACUUUUCCUACAACUAAGAGCUACAGCUCUAGCAAACAGAAUAUCUGACCAACAAGAUCCGGCAAUGCCGAUCAACGGACCGAGUUACCCUAGGGAUAACAGCGCAAUCCUCUUUUAGAGCCCAUAUCGACAAGGGGGUUUACGACCUCGAUGUUGGAUCAGGACAUCCUAAUGGUGCAGCCGCUAUUAAGGGUUCGUUUGUUCAACGAUUAAAGUCCUACGUGAUCUGA
rnacentral:rRNA from 1 species